GAGAGUGAAUCUAACGAGAGAAAGACUGGAAGAGAAGAGAAAUACGGUUAUUUUGAAAUAUGGACAACUUUGACUACGGAUACUUGAAUUUCGGAUAUUUGAACUACGGAUAUUUGAACUACAGGACAUUUGAACUACGACUUAAGAUCCCUCCCACGAGGCUUCCUUGACAGAUGAUCUCCUGUUGAAGGAAGAAGGAAGACUCUUGUCUCUUGUGUUUUGUACGCUGCUGGAAUCCUGACUGGUUUUUUUAGUACCCCGAACAACUCCCCUUGCUACACCUUUUGGAACCCUUGGAUACCCCCUUUUGGAUUGCCCCCAUCGUCGCCCUGGAUGUGGAUUCAUCAUCAUCGCCCUCCACAUUAACUUGCCCCUGUGAUUGUGGUAGGAUCUGGAUAUUGCACCUUGCACAAAUUGGAAGACUGAAUCAUUCCCCCUUUUCUUUUCUUUAUUAUUUUCUUUGAGUGCACUCAUACUUUAUUUUGGAUUAUUUUGUUUAAUUUGUUAAUGUAGAAUAUGGCUGCAUAAGUAAUAUAUUAGAAAGGUAUAAAAUAGAAUAUAGACAAUAAAUAGAAUAUUAGGAAGAACUUUUAAAAAGUAUAAUAGAGUAAAAUAUAUAUGUAAUAUAACACAUCUCAUUUAGUAUUGAUAUUGAAAUAACUUGACGCUGAACUGUUGAAAUAAAUUCUUUUUAUAUUGUAAACUAUACCCACGAGUGUGUGUGUUGUCUUUGGGAUGAGUACUAGAAUCUGGUCUAGAAAAAAACCUACACCAAUCUCCACUGAACUUAGACAUUAGACUGUAAACUGUCCCUGCGCAAGCAUAGGCCCAUUCCCCUGUCGUGCAGGUUACACAGACGUGUCGCCUUGGUCAAUUUUUUGAUAGGUCAGGCAAAAAUGAGCAUUUAGCUUAGCAGAAGGAACACAAUGAAAGGUACAGGGUCCACAGAUGCCACACUCAUGUUCAAGGGUCUAGUGGCUUAUCAACUGAAAAUUGAGUUCAUGUUUUUCAAAUUUAGUUCAAACUUGGAAGGAUUUAUUUCUAUUUGGGGACAUGGGGAUGUACUGUGCAUGGUAGAAAACCAAGUGCUUUUUCUUAAUUUCUGAAAAAAUAAAAAAUAGGGGAAGGUCUGUAUCCUUUUUUUUACUGUGUAUGGCAAUUGUUGUGUUUUUCUGCUAUGUAUAUGAGUAUUUGUGUUAAUGUUAUCUUGAUGUAAAUGAAGAAUUGGAACAUUAAAGGCUUGGUUAA